rnacentral:lncRNA from 1 species
CUGACGUGAAUAUGAUCAAUUUCCUCCUGUACGAAGUCUACUUAACUAACUAAUAGAAAUAUGCAUUUUAAACUAGUUUAGAAAACAAAACAAGCUUUUAUAUGUUUAAUAUGUCUUAGGUUCUGCAAAGUAAAGGCACUACGUCCCAUCUUUCGUCUAGGAAAUUCUCAAAAGAGCCUCUUCGCAGGGUUGAGUGUCUGCAGAUGAGAGUUGGACUAAAAUCAUGCAGAACUCAGUUCGAGUCAUUCAUAAAUGCCUUAGAGUCAUACAGAGAAAGAGAUCAAGUGCAAAAGUCUUAUCAAAUGGAAAAAAUCCAUUAGGUCCAUCCUGUUUCUUAAGAGAAAAGCGCAGACGUGUCAAAGGUCAGGUUCAGCUGAGAGCAGGGAGGAAGCGUUUUCUCAGGAAGCUGCGCUCCGGAGGCAGAUCCGAUGGGAAGUGUUCAGUAUCCUGAGCAGUUUGGCAGAUCUCGGCAAUGCCAUUCAUUGGAUGCCGCCUGGAUUUCUAUGGGCUGGACGGUUUCCUCCAUGGCUGGUGGGACUGAUGGGAACGACCUCCUCACUGAUAGGCCUUCUACCGAUCAGUCUGGUGAUCAAGGACUUGCAAAUUUGCAGAUUCCCUCUCAGACCUAUUGGUUACUGUUGAUAAAGCGCUAAUUGUUGGAGAUUUUAACAUUUACGUUGAUAAUACAAAUGAUGCAUUAGGACUUGCGUUUACUGACCUAAUAAACUCUUUUGGAGUCAAGCAAAAUGUCACCGGGCCCAUUCAUCGUUUUAAUCAUACGCUAGAUUUAAUUAUAUUGCAUGGAAUUGAUCUUACUGAUAUAGAUAUCGUACCUCAAAGCGAUGAUGUUACUGACCAUUUCCUUGUAUCGUGCAUGCUGCGUAUUACUGAUAUUAACUAUAUGGCUCCGCGUUAUCGUCUGGGCAGAACUUUUAAUUACAAAU